GCACAGUUUUGCUACAACCCCAAUCAAACACAGCUGAUCCAACUAAUCAGUGUGUUCAAGACUACCAGACUAUAUAAUAACAAAUGAGAGAAAUGUAUUGCAUGUCACAUAACUUGGCAUCUGAUCCGAUCCGCCCCUGCUGUUCGGGAUAGCAUGCUGUCAUUGUUUACAUCAAGACGUUCUUGCCAUGUGACUGGACCAGCGUCAUUGAAAUCAGUGUGUAUGGUUCAGAGUUUGAAGUCUAAAACCUUUCACCUCAAAUAUAAGCUUGAGGUAUGCGAACACAAGCUCAGAAACAGACACACCUGCACGACACUCCCCUUCUCCAGCACAGGAAUUCACACUUUUCUCAUGGACAAUUAAAAGUAUCAUCAAGAUGUGGUUCUGAAGUGAUCACAGUGAGCUGCAGAUAUGGAAAACAUGAGACAAAGGGACUCACUUAUAUCCAGCCCACUGGAGCUUCAGUCCAAAACCAGCAGUGCCAUUCGCCGCAGGUUCUCCGGGCCUCUCCUGCUUCCCCCUUUGGCCCGCAGACACUCUGCCCUGGAUGGCAAGAAGUUAAAGGACCUAGAAGCUCUUUACAAAUCAGCCCUGGCCCGCGCAGACAUACAAAAAGAAACAGAGUGAGUCAUCCUGCACACCAUACCAUUCUCUGUUGAAUUGAUUUAGACGGCUGAUAAAAGUGCACAAAGUCCUGUCUGUUGUAGUCUUCAAUAGACUGCUGCUGAUUGAAGCGCCAUGCUCAGAUUGUUCCUAUUUGGAGAGGUUUCCAAAAUGGGCACUGCGUGUGUUACUGACACUCCUGGCGAAAUGCGACCCAGUUCAAUCAGCAACCCAGCAACCACAUAAAGUGCGUUUUCGUUGUCUUCAAAAAGGGACAGAGAUCUUAUCUGACAGGUCAUAAAGAUGAUACCUGGAUGAAUUGUUGUUGUCGUUGUUUUCAGAUUGAGAGUGUUACUUUAAAUACUUUCUUCUCCAUGUAAUGAAUUUUAAUCCCUUGACAGUUAAAAUGACCUGGCAAAGCUUUUGAAAGAAAGGUCAUGGAGAUUUGAGCAGAGGGUGGGAACAACUCCCGGGUGCUUCAGUGGUGUUUACUUCUCUGGUAAAAGGGCACAAUGACUCGGAAUGAGAUCAUAUAAAUGCAGAGGCAGCACUUUAAACCAAUUCAGCCUGCCAUUA